AACGAACGCUGGCGGCAGGCUUAACACAUGCAAGUCGAACGCCCCGCAAGGGGAGUGGCAGACGGGUGAGUAACGCGUGGGAACAUACCCUUUCCUGCGGAAUAGCUCCGGGAAACUGGAAUUAAUACCGCAUACGCCCUACGGGGGAAAGAUUUAUCGGGGAAGGAUUGGCCCGCGUUGGAUUAGCUAGUUGGUGGGGUAAAGGCCUACCAAGGCGACGAUCCAUAGCUGGUCUGAGAGGAUUAUCAGCCACAUUGGGACUGAGACACGGCCCAAACACCUACGGGAGGCAGCAGUGGGGAAGAUUGGACAAUGGGCGCAAGCCUGAUCCAGCCAUGCCGCGUGAGUGAUGAAGGCCUUAGGGUUGUAAAGCUCUUUCACCGAUGAAGAUAAUGACGGUAGUCGGAGAAGAAGCCCCGGCUAACUUCGUGCCAGCCGCCGCAGUAAAAC
rnacentral:rRNA from 1 species